ensembl:lncRNA
UUUACUUUUAAAAUGAGACAUGUUUUUGUGAAUAUUGGUUUAUAAUCAGAUUAUAGUUUUAAAAACAUUUUAACAAACAAAAGUCUCUUAAUUAACUUUUCCUGUAAAAGAACUGGCUCAAAGGAACAGUUUUUUUUCACAAAUUGGACAUCACUGCUAUGUUAACCAUGCAGAACCAUCUACUACUAAUUAUGAUAUAUAUUUUACAGUUUAUAUAUAUUUAGAGAGAGAGAUAGUAUAUACUAUAGUUUGAGAGUGCAUACUCUCAAAUGCAGUUGAAAGUACUCAGUAUGCAUUUAAAUGUCCAGCAGUGUAUGAUCUAAAUGUUUUGUUGUUGUUCAGGAGGAAGAGUUGAAGCUGGCCGCUGAUGCUGUUCUCUCAGAGGCAUGAAAGAAACAAGACGAUGCCAAGAGGAUGCUGGACAUACUGAAUCUCUGGAAAAACUCAGAAAACUCCAGAAAGAGGCUGUGGCCAGGAAGGGUAAAACAUAAAAAUAUGAGUAUGCAACAGAGGAGAAAGCACUGAGAGUCAUGCUGGAGGGAGAGCAGGAGGAGCGCAAACGAGACCGCGAGAAACAACAGAAGAAAAAGAGAAGCUGUUGCAGAAGAAGCGAAAGGUGGAUGCAGUGCUGUUUGGAGCUGAAUUGCCUCCUGAUCACCCUCUUCAGCCGUUCCUAGAUUACUACACAGGCAGAGCGCUCCCUUCCUGCGCUGAUACAAAAAAGGUCUAUUUUCAGAUCAGAAAUAAGCUCUAAAAAUAACUCCCUGAGUAAAGGUGACAUUACUCAAAGAAUAUGUUCAUAUCGCGUUUCCUCUGACAGGAGAGAGUGGGAUCAGUUCCUGGUUGGUGAACACACUGACGGUAUCUCGGUUCCUCAUGGCUGGGUUCUGCCCGACCAACCAGCUGACGACGUCUGGGCCCCGGCCCUGAAAAAAUGAUGCUUAUGACCCGACUGGGGAAAACAUGUAUGGCUGGGACAGUGUGUGACCAGAUUCUGAAGUUUGGGUGAAUGUCACAGAAACAUUUCACCCCAAAACCAAAGAAAUUAUACUUUUUAUACUUUUUUUCUUUUUUGGGGGGCCAUUUACAUUUUUUUUAAUUUUUACAUUAUUUUUAUGAUUGUUAAGUGCAUCUUACACAGAUUCUUAUUACCAUAAUUUGCUUGGAUUUUGUUUUUUUUUUAAAUGUAAUUGUCAUUUUUCCCAGUGGUGGUUGUUAUUAGAUUCUUAUUGUUUCAAUGCUGAAAACAAUACUACUGAAAUUAGUAUAAUGAUUCUAAAAUUAGAAAAAUAUAUUUUUUAAUUAUAUCUUUUCAAAAUCAAUAAAGCAAAU